rnacentral:rRNA from 1 species
AAUAGAUACCCAGGUAGUCCACGCCGUAAACGAUGAGUGCUAAGUGUUAGAGGGUUUCCGCCCUUUAGUGCUGAAGUUAACGCAUUAAGCACUCCGCCUGGGGAGUACGGCCGCAAGGCUGAAACUCAAAGGAAUUGACGGGGGCCCGCACAAGCGGUGGAGCAUGUGGUUUAAUUCGAAGCAACGCGAAGAACCUUACCAGGUCUUGACAUCCUCUGACAAUCCUAGAGAUAGGGCUUCUCCUUCGGGGGCAGAGUGACAGGUGGUGCAUGGUUGUCGUCAGCUCGUGUCGUGAGAUGUUGGGUUAAGUCCCGCAACGAGCGCAACCCUUGAUCUUAGUUGCCAUCAUUAAGUUGGGCACUCUAAGGUGACUGCCGGUGACAAACCGGAGGAAGGUGGGGAUGACGUCAAAUCAUCAUGCCCCUUAUGACCUGGGCUACACACGUGCUACAAUGGACGGUACAAAGAGCUGCAAGACCGCGAGGUGGAGCUAAUCUCAUAAAACCGUUCUCAGUUCGGAUUGUAGGCUG